UACAAUGUUUCGACUCUUCGUCUUAUUUAAAAUAUUUUUGCGACUAAUAUUUUUAUUCUUACCGGAUGAUAAAACAUAAACAAUACUUUAAGAGUGACUAAUUUUUUUAAGUUUUUGUACAAAUUUUUCAAAUAAGACGAAUGGUCAAAUGUUAGACAAGGAAAAAC
rnacentral:pre_miRNA from 1 species